rnacentral:rRNA from 1 species
CACACGCCGUCACACCAUGGGAGUCAGUUGCUCCAGAAAUGGCUGCGCUAACCCGCAAGGGGGCAGGUCCUUAAGGAGUGACUGGUAACUGGGUG